rnacentral:rRNA from 1 species
GAUGAACGCUGACAGAAUGCUUAACACAUGCAAGUCUACUUGAAUUUGGGUUUUUUAACUUAGAUUUGGGUGGCGGACGGGUGAGUAACGCGUAAAGAACUUGCCUCACAGUUAGGGACAACAUUUGGAAACGAAUGCUAAUACCUGAUAUUAUGAAUAUAUGGCAUCAUAUAAUUAUGAAAGCUAUAAGCGCUGUGAGAGAGCUUUGCGUCCCAUUAGCUAGUUGGAGAGGUAACGGCUCACCAAGGCGAUGAUGGGUAGCCGGCCUGAGAGGGUGAACGGCCACAAGGGGACUGAGACACGGCCCUUACUCCUACGGGAGGCAGCAGUGGGGAAUAUUGGACAAUGGACCAAGAGUCUGAUCCAGCAAUUCUGUGUGCACGAUGACGUUUUUCGGAAUGUAAAGUGCUUUCAGUUGGGAAGAAAAAAAUGACGGUACCAACAGAAGAAGUGACGGCUAAAUACGUG